GUAAGGGUAGGGUUGGUUACAGAGCCAUUUAACACUCCUAUCUUGCGAAAAUCACGUCAGUUUGGUUGAUGGAAAAGUGUUGACCUGUUGCUCCUUCGCGGGCCUAAAAAUUCAAGGCGCCAGUAAAAGCAUGCGCGUGACGUCACUGAGUACAUGUAAGGCCUGUUUCAUACGUCGUACUAUCGUCGAAUUUAAUUAUUAAUAAUGUAUUCACGUG